GAAAACUCUAAACAUAAUACUCAUAAUAAAAUACUCAUUUUCAGAAACCCAUUUUCAACUCUUUCACGGAUGCAAUGGCAAUGGUGAUUUAGCGACUGAACAUAUAUGUAAGAGGAUUCAUCUAAGUUUAAUUUUGGGUUCCUUUCACUCGCUCACUCUCAUUUCGGUAAGGGUUUCUGUGGGUUUCUUCGCUCCCUCUCAUUUCGGUAAGGGUUUCUGUGGGUUGUCUUCUUUGCUUCAGCCUCAGCUUCUCUCUUCGUCUCUCCUGUUUCUCUUGUUCGUCGUUCAUCCCUUCAUUUCCUCUUGCGUUGGCCUUCUGGAUUUGUUGAACAGACAUGAAUCCAGAAAUUUCCAAUUCCUAUGCUAAUUUUGCUAAGCAGCUUAAAAGCUAUUCUUGGCUUCUUCACAAAGUUUCUGGUGAUGGUGAUAAUAAAGUGGCAUACGGAUUAGGUUCAGGAUUUGCUGUGAGGAUUGAUGAGGACACACGUACUAAGAACCAGCUUCAGCCAAAUGACUUGAUCAUCUUGACAUGUGACCAUGUGUUACCGGCUGAUGAUGAAAUAGUCAGAGUCCGCAACUUUAACCACAAAACUAGUUUCAACGCAAGGAUACUGCGUAGGAAUCGUUCCUGGGACAUAGCUUUAUUGGUGCUACAAAAUGCAGCAGAUAAGUUUGCUAGUGCUGAAUUUGUUGAAGACGGAAACAUAUUACUUUCUCAGCCAUUAUUCCAUGUCGGUAACCCAGGAAGGUUUUUAUGGUCGUUCUUCAUUGGAUGUGCUGGGAAUAAGUGCACGAAUGAUGCUGUUGCUCCUUCUCGUCGUAGUAGAAAAAAAUGUUUUUUCCACAAACCUGACUUGAAUGAAACGGCAAGUCAUCUAAAAUUAGGAGACUUUGUUAAUAAGAAGUUUUUUGCAAGACCAAAUUUGAUUGGAGAAAAUAUUAAGGAGAAAAUGAAAAACUUAAACCCGAGUGUUCCUGUGAUACAGUGUUGCGGCAUGGGUACUGCCGAGGGAUGUUCUGGAGGGCCUGUUUUCAACAAUGAAGGGAAGAUUGUUGGAAUGAUGGGUUUCAAUUUGGUUGAGUUUGAUAUUGUUAGCCAUGUAAGCAUGUUGAAGGCAUACGUCUAUGACCCUUUAUGUUAAGUAGUUCUGCUUUUCAAUCAUUAGAUUUCUCCUCAAUUGUAUUAGAUGGUUGAAAUUAGCAUGCAUAUGGCAAGAAGCACAUCGGAACAGAUUUUAGCUUCAUUGUUCAUUCUACUAUUAUUCGGUUUAUUCUCUUAUUUUGUUAUAACAGUUUGACUUCAACUAAUUAUGUAAUGUUCUGUUUGAUAUUUUAGAUAUAAUUAUCUUAGUCACUUAAGGAUUAUAGAGAGCUAAUUGUGAUUGUGGUUGUUAGCCUUUUUGCGUGAAAUCACAUUAAUGGACUGACAGACUCGAAUAGUAACCAUGCCCAAUAUUUUGGAUCUCAAAAUAUUAAAGAGAACGGUCACAUUGAACAAACCAUGUAAAAUCUAUACACAUUCUUCUUCAUUAUGCUAUGAUUCUGUUUAUUCUCUUGUAAGUUUGACUUCGACUCCUAAUUCUAUAAUGUUGUAUUAUUAUAUAACUGUCAGAGUCAUUUAUGGAUUAUAGGUAGCGGAAGUGUGAUUUUGCUUGGUUCUUGAGUUAAUCCCCUUAACUGUGAUUGUUAGUCAUUUAGGAUUAUUGUUAGUCCACUUUUAUAUGAAUGUAUCUAAAUAUAAAACACUGUACAUUCGGCACACUUUUAGAAAAAAUCAAUUUUGUCACCAAAAAACCAAACUAACACUUAAUGAUCUUCAACAUAUCAUUGAACCUUCCCUUUUGACCUUCCUGUAAGUGUAGGAAAUAUCUUUCAGGAGAGGUUUAGCUUAUAUAAUGGCAAUAAUGAAAAGGGUUUUUCUCGCGAAAAUAUUGAGUCUAUAUGCAGUGUUGAACGAUCAACUAUAAAAGCCAAUAAGAACCUCGGUUACAUUGGCGAAAAAGUGAACUGUUUAUGCACUGAGGCUCCUGGCUUGAACUGCUUUGCUGGAAUGCGCGCUUCAAUGGAGGUUACAAGCUUCUCAUAGCUUGCACUCUCAUACUCCUUAAAUACACCCUCGAGAUUAAGCUCGUUAUAAAAGAUCUUCACGUCGGCAACAUUUGCUGGAUCAAGCUUCCCAUAGUUCUCAUAUGUAAGACUUUCUUUUGUUCUUCAAUGGAAAGUUCCAAUGUUUUUACAACUAACCAAGAGCACUUAAAGUCUUCAUAUCUGGUUUCGUAUAUAACUAAAAUGAGAUCAUUCAGUAUCUAUGGCAUGAUCCAGAAUCUGCUUACCUUUCCAAUUGUUUCAGGAUCACCAAAGCAAUCCAAAUAAUCAACCAUUAAAACCUUCAACACAUGCCAAUCAGGCCAUUCAAAGGCAUAUAAGUUUUAUUACAUAUUGCUAAACAAUGCAAGUUCUUGUGCGACGAAAUCUCGAUCUAAGAACCACCGGAUAUUAAAGCCUCUAACAUGCCUCCGUAUUUCGAAAUUGGACUGGCCUAUUCAAUUGAAACUUUCCAAAAUCACCAUCCACUCGCUUACUACCACGGUAAUCACCUCACCAUUUCUAUCUCAAAACUACCUUCGAAGACUCUUCCUCGAUCGCACAUGAGUUCCUUUGAGUGCCAUUAGAUUUAUUAACUUAAUUCAUGAUAGAAAUAAACCGUAUUGCGCAAGAUGGACGACAGCCUAAAUUCUUUAUUCCUUGAGACUUCAACAUUGAUUGAGUCACCAACAGCUCAACCUUGUUGUUUUGUGGACUGAUCAUUCUCGGAACGAAACUGCAGAAGUUACAUCUACCACUGCCUAUCUUGACUUGAGACAGAAGCAAUAAAAUACUGAAAAGUGUCAUGAGCCUGUAAGCUCUAAUUAUUCUCAGCGAACCAAUGCUCUCCAUAACUGAUACUCUAGGGAUCAGUUUCAUGAUUAUAACUUCAAAGGCUGCAUUGUCAGUUAGCAAUCUGUCCUUAGCUUGCUGAAUAGAAUAAUAUGUUGCAGCUAUAUGCUUUAUUUCCAAUAUAUGCUUUAGUUCCAAAACUUAGUGCAUGAGUAAUAGAUUCAUUCCUUGUGAUUCCUUUUAAUUUAUUCAUUUUUUCAUUAUUGUCGGUGCAAUGUGUCGAUGUCGGUGUUGUGUUUCCAGUUUCUUUCAUAAAACAUUUAUAUUUGAAAUGUUACCUUGACUAAGGGGUAAGGGUUCUUCCAUCUUCAAGAGUCUUAUUUCCUAGUGAAGAAGUUUGCUAAAGAUAUGAUAGUCUUCUUCUGCGCUCUACCUCCAAAUAAAUAGAAUAUAAGGGAUCCCAUUUGAAGAGAAGGAAAAAUGGGAGCUUGUCCUUUGGAAGUCUAUUGUUCAAUGCAUGUCCGUAACGGGUCUGCUGCGAUAAUUUCCUGAACGAAUCUGCUGCGUGCUUAAGCUGUCCCCCAAGAUUUUAUUUUAUUGGACACAUCUGAUGCUGUUGCAGUUAAUGAGUAUAUGAAGGAAAAGCUGGUACGACAUAUAAUGGUACUUACAGAGCAACCUCAACUCGUAAAGGCUUUAUUUCUCCUAGACGUUUUGGUGGAAUUGCUCAUAAAUCGGCUGCAGAGAGUCAGUGUGCUAAUACCGUGUUCUGAUUAUCAAUUCUCUGUGGGAUUUUCCCGGUUAUAUAGCAGAAGUUGCUGUUCAUGUCGAGAGUUAGAGGGGCAUAGUUUUGUUAGUGUGGCAUCCUUGGGAGCAACCAGUGACAUGGAUGCGUUUGUUUUGAAGUGGCUGCAUCUCGGUGUUGGCGUUGGAUUUAUCGCGGAGUUGCUUUUCAGUUAAGGUCUUUUGUGCAUGUGGUGGAUUCGAGCUUGGUUCUUUGGCGGUUCUUAUCAAACUUUAGAUCCUCAAAUUCCAAUGAAAAAUUGUAUCCUUAGAUCCUCUAGUAUUGCACAUAUCUGUAGGCCAAUUCCUUCCAAUUGUCACAAUUAUCAAGUUGCAAAUUUACUAAACAUUCACUAAGAUACUCCGAAUACGGCCGACACUUCAACAUCAUUAAGAAAUUUGAGAAAAAAAUGAGUAAGUUGAGCAUAGUCACAUGCGUAGAGGAAUUUAAAUCACCCCGAUACUCUAUUUAGCGUCAAAAGUUCUUAACAGUAGCUAGCAUAACAGACUUCAAACAAACUACCAUAUAUAAACAUACUUUACCUUAAUACUGUUAUAAUGCAAUUUCUAUCCAUUAUAGCAUACAACAGUUAAAUUUGAUACCAAAUAUCAUAUUGCUUAAAGAUAAGUGGAGAAUACAAUCUGAAAAUUAAAUCUGUUCGAGCUGGCUGCAUAUGCAACAUGAACUGAUCAGCCUGUGUUAUAGUCUUUAAGGAUUAGAGUUUCAUAAGGCCUCUUAAAGAACACCUAAAAAAACACCUGAAGAAUGUCAUCAGUUGUAUUCUACUGAAUCAAGUUGAGGGGUAUAUCAAUGCUUCAAUUUAUCCUAAUAAAUAUUACGACUAUUGCCUGUAAAUUGGAUAAUACUCGACUGUUAUGAACUAUUUCUGGAGAAGCUCAACAAAAUCACCAGGAUAAUUUACAUUUCACAAUCUCAUAUAUAGUAGAACUAGACUGAAGAAUUAACAUGAUUACAUAGAAGACAAGGAGAUAUUUAACUAGAAGACUCGACUUGUACAGAGAACUGUUUAUGCACUGAGGCUCCUGACUUGAACUGCUUUGCUGGAAUGCGCUUCAAUGGAGGUUACAAGCUUCUCACAGCUUGCACUCUCAUACUCCUUGAAUACACCCUCGAGAUUAAGCUCGUUAUAAAAGAUCUUCACUUUGGCGACAUUACAGGAUCAUUCAGUAUCUAUGGCAUGAUCUAGAAUCUGCUUACCUUUCCAAUUGUUUCGGGAUCACCAAAGCAAUCCAAAUAAUCAGGCCAUUCAAAGGCAUAUAAGUUUUAUUACAUAUUGCUAAACAAUGCAAGUUCUUGUGCGACGAAAUCUCGAUAAAAGAACCACCGGAUAUUAAAGCCUUUAACAUGCGU